GACGAACGCUGGCGGCGUGCUUAACACAUGCAAGUCGAGCGGAAAGGCCCUUUUGGGGUACUCGAGCGGCGAACGGGUGAGUAACACGUGAGUAAUCUGCCCUUCACUUUGGGAUAGCCACCGGAAACGGUGAUUAAUACCGGAUACGACGCACUCGGGCAUCCGAUGUGUGUGGAAACUUUUUGGGUGGGGGAUGUGCUCGCGGCCUAUCAGCUUGUUGGUGGGGUAAUGGCCUACCAAGGCUUUGACGGGUAGCCGGCCUGAGAGGGUGACCGGCCACACUGGGACUGAGACACGGCCCAGACUCCUACGGGAGGCAGCAGUGGGGAAUAUUGGACAAUGGGCGGAAGCCUGAUCCAGCAACGCCGCGUGAGGGAUGACGGCCUUCGGGUUGUAAACCUCUUUCAGCACCGACGAAGCGCAAGUGACGGUAGGUGCAGAAGAAGGACCGGCCAACUACGUGCCAGCAGCCGCAGUAACAC
rnacentral:rRNA from 1 species